rnacentral:rRNA from 1 species
AACGAACGCUGGCGGCAUGCCUAACACAUGCGAGUCGAACGAGAUCCUUCGGGGUCUAGUGGCGCACGGGUGCGUAACGCGUGGGAAUCUGCCCUUAGGUUCGGAAUAACAGUUAGAAAUGACUGCUAAUACCGGAUGAUGACGUUAAGUCCAAAGAUUUAUCGCCUGAGGAUGAGCCCGCGUAGGAUUAGCUAGUUGGUGUGGUAAAGGCGCACCAAGGCGACGAUCCUUAGCUGGUCUGAGAGGAUGAUCAGCCACACUGGGACUGAGACACGGCCCAGACUACUACGGGAGGCAGCAGUGGGGAAUAUUGGACAAUGGGCGCAAGCCUGAUCCAGCAAUGCCGCGUGAGUGAUGAAGGCCUUAGGGUUGUAAAGCUCUUUUACCCGAGAUGAUAAUGACAGUAUCGGGAGAAUAAGCCCCGGCUAACUCCGUG